GUUCAUGGAUAACUUAGAAAACUGCAAGAAAAAGGCAAUCUUCUCCGUAGCCUAAUCUCCAGAAACCUAUAGACUCCGUUUCCUAGAGCCCUAGUACCACCCUCACCAAGAUGGGAGGGGGUUUAAGUGCCAGCCAUGAUGAUGUGGGAAACUAAGGCAAGUGAGAAAUUAAAUUCCCUUACUGCCUACAGCCCACUGACAAGUCCUCGAGGCCAGCAGAGUGACCUCCCUCUAGGAGCUCAGCUGCCUCGAUGAUGACACUUUGCUAGGGGCAAAAGGAAAUCUUGGGUUAACAUUAUCCUGACGCCCCAGGAUCCUGUAAGUCUACUGUACCAUAUAAAAAUUCUUUUGGAAACUUCCUUUAUCUCAACUCCCCGGAGAUAUAUGCUGGCAAUCAUACUCCAGGCUUCUGGCCCCUGAUAUACAUCUGAGGGGUCUCAUGACUGAAGUUUUACUAAAUGGUAAUACAUUGCAUUUUCCUACCAGCAGCUGGCCCCUCAAGAUCCUGGAAACCUUGCUUCCAAAAUUCCUUAGAAACUUAUGCUGUUCCUGACCCCCCUCCUAACCUGAGGGUAUCUAAUCCGUUACUCGUCACAACCCCAGUGCAGCUCUUUUGCCCACGGGUCCUGUCCCCGUGCUUUCAUAAAAUGACCUUUUUGCACCGAAGAUGUCUUCAAGAAUUCUUUCUUGGCCAUCAGCUGUGAAUCCCAACAUCACCCCAAGACCUCACCAAAACCAUCAGACACGCUGGGCUUUGUCCCCCACUGCUUCUCCCCGGGCAGACAUCUGGUGAGGACACUGCCCGGAAAGAAGGUAGAGGCUUCAGCCUCUGGGGGAGACGAAGCCUCAGAGAGGCUCACCUGAGGAAGAGGACGGGCGUGCUCCCAAGGGAGGCGGCACAACACCUCCCUGAUGGUGAUGAGAAGUGACCCUCUGCUUUGCUGUAACCACCCACAGUAAUAAAGACAGAAAAGGUAAAGUGGGAGGGCCAAGGAGGGACUAGCUGCCCUACACACACACACACACACACACACACACACACACACCUUGGCCCAGUCUUUCCCUAAGGGCCUAAUCCAGGAACCGAGCGAGAAGGAGGCGGCUGCCGGCUACAUGGAAUGUAUCUGCUGGGGCGUCGGCUGAACUUAAUGGGGGCUGGAAGGAAACAACUGGCUGCCGGAGCACAGGAGACAAAAAUCCCCAGUAGUGUGGGAGGUGGGGAUUCCUCCCGGAGGAGGCUUCGCCCUGGGUCACAUACACCUGGGUGAGGUGGCGUUUCUGGUGUGGGGGGCUGCCCAACCGAAGGUGGGCCUCGUGCCGACUCAGGCCGACUCAACGGAAAACGUUAGCUGAGGCCUCCUCUCCCUGUCCCGUGUCAGUACGUGGUCCUUCGGCCGCAUGGGUAUGUGGUCUAAAAAAGCCAGCGCUUGGAGCCCAGUUUGGGGGGACCCAAGUUUACCGGAGGUCAAAUCUGCAUGAACAUAAGCCAAAGCACAAAGCGGGCCAACUGAAGAAUCGGCUGGUACUGAUGAGGGAGCGUGGGGUGGGCUGAGGACAGAAUGCAAGCUAGCACCCCCCCCCCCCAGGGUGGGGUAUGUGUGACAUUCCUCAGGUACUCCUGGCUGCCCAAGGACAAAGGAAAGGAGAGAAAACAAAUGGUUAAGUGAUAGAGAUUACAGUCAUACAGGGCAUGAGUCCCCAUCAGUUUGCAAAUAUCUUAGUAAAUUACAAGAAAAAGGCAAUCUUGUCAAUAGCUUAAUGUCCAGAAACCUAUAGACUCAGUUUCCUGGAGCCCCAACAUCACCCCUCCAUAAUGAUGUGGGGAACAAGGGCAGGAAGGCAAUGGCAGGUAAAAUUAAAUUUCCUUAUGACCUGCAGCCCAUUGACAAAUACUUGAGGCAAAUACAGAGUAUAACAUUUCUCCAGGAAACCCUGCUGCCCUAAUGCCAAUGCCUUACUAGAGGGAAAAACAACCUUAGCUUGACAACAGCAAGGUCUCAGGUAUCUUAGGAAUCCUCUUUAGCACAUCAAAGUCCCUCUGCAGGCCUCCCUUUUGUCUUGACCUCCCCAACUCCAGAGUAUAUAACCAGCCACUCUUCACAACCCCAGUGCAGCUCUUCCUGCCCACGGGUCUUGGUCCCGUGCUUUAAUACAAUCACCUUUUUGCAUCAAAGACGUCUUCAAGAAUUGUUUCUUGUACGUCGCCUCCAGAACCCCCACCAUCAUCCCAAAACUUCAUCAUAUGGUGCCCAGCUUGGGGCUACAAGUCCUUCCAUCUGGACUCUGAGCUGGUGCAAACCCCGAGGAGCAUGGGAGCAUCUCUUCGGUCCCCAAGGGUUCUCCUUUGAGAUGCCUUUUAACCACUGGGAACAAUUUGGAUUGCAAAAUGUAGACAAGGACUGAUCUCCUGUAACACUGCAUGGCCUUAAACAGGGCAAAGGAACACAGGAGAUGCUGGAUGGUGACUAACUUAUCGUGGUAAUCACCUCACGACGUAUGUAAGUCACAUUAUUAUGCUGAACCCCUUAAACUUAUACAGGGCUGCGUAUCAAUUGUCUCUUAAUAAAAAGGGGGAAAUUUUUCUUCAAGAAUUCAUGCGUCGAGUUUGGAGACGGAGGAGAACAAGAUGCCUUUUUUCUGAUUUGUUUCCUGUGGCUCCUUUUCCCUUCAGAACUCCAUUGAGAGAGCACUAGGCAAGCCCGGGGGGCGGAAAUCAACUCAGCCAAAUUCACCAAACUGAAGGGUUUCUUUUCCUGAGCUUUGCUUUGCCGGCCUGACAAAGCAGAGAGGCCCGGGCCUCCCAAGCCCUGGCCAGACCUGCCCGGGAGCCCCGUGCCCGGUCUCCGGGGCCCGCUUUGUCCGGCUGCCUGUCUGGCCUCCCCAGGUCCACCUGUGCUCGACCUUUCCGUCUCAAACCUACUCACACUCUCUGCAGCAAGGCCAAUAAGCCCACCCUGAGUUUUCCUUUUCUGCUUUAUUUUCUCCUUAUUCUAUUUUUUUUUCUCCAAAUUAUCCUUUGAUACAAUUUAGGGUUUUCUAUGGUCACAAACAAUCCUCCCUUGAUCCAUUGACCCACAAAUCAGCCAUCACUGACUAAGCCAAUGAAAAAGUAUUUGGAAUUAAUACAUGGAAGAAUCCAGCCUGAGGUAAUAGCCAGCCCCCAUCAGUGACAAGUUCCAGACAAGGUCUUCAGCAUAGGUCACAAAAAGGAAGAUAGAAAUUUGAGGUGUUAGAAAUUUCUCAGUAGAACUUUGACUCUUGCAUUUGGUAGUUACAGAAUUUUGAAUGUGACCGAUAUCCCUAAGGCAUAAUUCUCCCCUAACAUUUCUACCUUUGUUAGGUGGGUGGAACUUUGCUUGAAAUUGUUUUUUAUAGUCUGUUUCCUCUAACCUUCAAGGUACUCCUCGCUGUUUUAAGAAUUAAAAUCGACAGGAAAAAAAGAAUUAAAAUUGACAGGAGACAGACUAACAGGAGAAUCAAAAUUACAUAUAUGGGGAGAAGCCACCAUAAACAUGAGAGAUUUCAGACAGAUAAAAUGAGGUAUAAAUGUCCUUCUGGACUAAGGAGGAGGAGUGAGGAGUCUGGGCUUCAGAGGGAAGGAGGACAAUUCACAGGAAGAAUGGAAAGAUGUUUGGUAAACAAAUCUUUAUGGGUCAUAGAGACAAUGGGACUUAGAGAAGAAUUUUAACAACCAGAUUUUACUAACUUCCUGCCUACCACCCCUAGUUCAUAUUAUAAUGUAGUUGUCCUUGGUGACUGCUCCUUUCCUGGAGCGGGUGCUCUAUCUAAAUUCUUUUUUUUUUUUUUAGUUUUUUAAAAUGUUUAUUCAUUU